AAUUAUUUAGUUUAAGUAAAACAAAUGUUUUGAAAACCUUUAAUAAGGGAACAACCUUAAUAAUUG
rnacentral:tRNA from 1 species